AACAGUUUAAUUAUGAAAUGGAAAUGUCUGUGUACCAGGUUAGGAAUAAAAAAGAUUUGCCAAAUUGUUUAUUUUAAAAGCAAGCUAUCUAAACAAACGUCAUCUAGACUGGCAGUUAGGUAUCUCAGUUUAGAUAAAGGUAGAUUCAAUGCCAGUGAGUUCUUCAAGGCACUGCUGUCACUCUGACUUUAAUUUAGCAAUCUAUCUCCUCUGGUACAUUUUAGCCAAAAGCAGAGAGGCUUAGGAAAUAGUAUUGUUCCAAUCAAUUAGAACUUCCUGCAGUGUGCACAGCAGCAGAACCUAGGCACUAAGUUGUGGUUUGUAAGGACUAGCAAUUAAUCUGUCCAGAUAUUUUCUGUCAGAAUAGUCUUCCAGAAAAGAUACUGCUGCUUCCAAACUGUGGUUUGCGUGGAAUUUGUAAAGUGAACCAUGUAAAAGCAACCACGCUCUCUUAUCCAGAUUUGUCUUCCUGGGGUAGCUGGUGCUCAAAUACUUAUUUAGAGGCUGAAACUCAGCUUACUGUCUAUGCUGUUCUUAGUUUAAAACAUGGUCUCCCAUGUCUCAAGGAAGUGUUCAGAUCUCAAGUUGAUUUACUCUUCAGUGCUCUUCCCUUAGUUUGUUCAAAGAUUUUCUUUUAGUUUCAGUUCAGUCUGUAGAAAGACUUUGAAACCUUCAUGUUUUCAUGGGAGUAAAGCUCUGCUUCUCGCCCUGUUCUGUAUGUGCCAGCUGAUAUAGAGCAGAGUGAUCCCAAAGGGAUAAGUGAAACUUGCCAAGGGUAGAGGCAGUACAGAUGGUAGCAGUCUUUUUUUUUUUUUUUUCCUCUUGGAACCUGGGAACAGGACAGGAUAUCUAAUAAUGCUGUUGUUAAUGCUCUCAAAACUGACAUACAGAUUAUAAACUGUUAUGAAAAUGUACGAGGCUGGAAGGAGUUCUAAACAUUACUGAAAUAAAGUGAUUUAAAAGAAUAGAAGAAAAAGUGGUGGUGUCAUCAUUCAGUCUGACAGGGGAACAGUGGUUUAGUUUUGUGCAACAUACCUGGUACUGUUGUUGCAUCCAGGCUCAGGAAGGUGACAGCUGAGUUCUACAUGUGGAAUACUGGGACAUGUGAAUAACUGAGACUGCUUUAUUUAUUGGUAUGCCUUCGAGAAUUUGUCAAGAAACUCUCAAGCUUGAAAAAGGGGAAAAGGUGCAGGAUGGCAAGCUUUUGACUUAAAACAAACAAACAAAAACCCUGUGCAAUCUUGCUGAUAAGUAGGCAGAAGGAAACCUAUUUUCAGUUCUUUGUAGUCAAGAAAUUUGUAAACAUUCAGAUGCAGUGUAAGUGACUUUUACAAACAAACAAAACCCCCAGUGUUUUGUCAUAUUACAUGUUAUAUUUAUUUAAAGUUAAUUUGGGAAAAUAUAAUAGGAAUGUUAAAUGGUGUCAGCUUGAUCUUCAGUUGACGAUACGUGAAAGUCCAACUGUUACAACAAACGCACAAAGAUUUCCACCAGUGUUGAGUUUGUGCAUUUUCUUACCAAAAUUGAUGUCAUUAAACCGUAAUGAGUUUUCACCUUAUUCUAGGUGACUCAGGCUUUUACUGUUUCUGUGCAUGACUUGAUUUUUACCUCCAGAAUAGAAUCAAAUAUGAGUUAGAUAGCUAAAUGACCCAAGCAAGAGCAAAUGGAAGCCCUAUUCAAUAUGUUUUAAGUUGGGCUCUUAGCCUGCAGGUUGGCAUUGGUGUAGAUUAUCAUAAGCUUUAGCUUCUUUUAUGACAUAAGCUUUAAAGGAAGUUUUAAUUAAGAUGACCCAACCUUUUGUUUAAUAAACUUCAGUUGAUGUACCCAUUCCAAAAGACAUUAGCGUGCCCAAUAUCUGGAAAUGUGAUCUGCUUUUAGGAAGGUUACUGUACCUAUUGUCAUUAGGUAUUUCUUGUUGGGGGAAUACAAACUAUUACAUUUUAAAAGCUGCCAGUAUAUGUAGAAUAUAUGCAUAGAAUUUUCUCCUCUUUCUCAAUUCUCUCUCUAUAUAUAAUUAGGACUAGAUUUGAAGACUAAAUGACUGGUUUGGGUAUUUGUAUAAAAUCACAGGGGGAAGAAGGUAAAAUACUUCCAUCCAACCAAGGAGCACUGUAUCAGAAACAAAUAGCCAAUGAAGUGGUGGUUAGACAACACAAACUUAAGAGUCAGGUGAAAUUCUUGAACCACAUAAAUCACUUUGAGCUUAAUGCUGCUGUGGGAGCUACAGCUUAAACUUAACCAAGAAUGUCAGCUGAAUACUACUGUGAAAGUCUUCGAGCCUGUAAGAAAAGAAUGUCUGUGAAACAAACUGGAAAUUCUGAAGAAAGCAUAGGGGAUUAUAUGUCCAAACAGCUAUUACCCUAUUUUAGAAGGCACAGUUAGGAAGAAACCUAUACCUUAUUACUGAGAUGAAUAUCCUAUAAGAAAAUGCUGCUCUUUCAAAAGAAAAAUAUAAGCAAACACUUUAAACUAUUACUUAGAAGUAAAAUGAGCUAAUGAGAUAUCAUACAUAUUAUUUAAGGAAUGUAACAAAAAUCUCUCUCUCAAAAAAAAGUGUAAUUUGGCAGGAGAAUUUGCUGCAAAGGAAAUAGCCUCUGAAUGUUAUUAAGAAGGUCAAGUAAAUGGGAAGUAUGGUCUGGAACUCUGUGAUAUCUUAAUAGGUGAUUUCAGGAAAGGGGCUGUGUGUAGUAGACUUGGAACAACUACAUUCCAAUAAACAAAACUUUCUAGCUUAAGUUCAGAGACUUUGUCCACUCUGAGUAAGCCCUAGCUGCUCUUGUGAAUUUCUUUGAUCGUGAAGGGGACUAAAUAUCGUUUUGGGGAAAUACUGUAGCCAGAAGGAGAUACUUAAUAAAAACAGAUAAUGAGGGUAUCUAGAGUAGCAAAAUAAUGGUGAAACUUCUCACCGUGAAGAGACAAGAAAAAUGGAUUUGGCAAAUAAAAUGAGAUACUUUUUUUUUUAUCAAGAAGUCUUGUACUUCUUCUAACAGACAGUACUCCCAUUGUAUGUAAAAAAAAAAAAAAAAAAAGUAAAAAAAAAAAGGUCAUAUCCAUGAUCCAUGCGUGGAACUCUAAAACAGCAAUAAUACUGAUUAAGUCUGGAUUUCCUUUUCACAUAAUUGAUGUAAAUGUUUGGAAUAGAUUUCUUACACUUUCUUAAAAGAAACUCAGUAAAUAAAAUACAACCUCCUCUGCUUUCAUGACAUGAAAACUGUGACACAAAUAAUGAAAAAUUAGAAAAAUGAGAUUUCUAAUGUCUUUCAUUGCAUUGAUUAAACUCUUCACUGAAGUGAGGCAAAGCUAAGAUCUGUUAAAUAUGGAAUGGUUCAAAGAGUAUUGCAUGAGUAUUCCAAAGAACACAUGCUGUUUGUGAUACAUAUACUUUAAGACAUGAUAUUGAACCAACUGGAAAAGAUUCAAUGUAUCUUUGCAGUAUGGAGUUUUCAAUUGGUAUUUUGCUACAUGGAAAUAAAAUGUGUUUCCAAUUUGUACUGCAGUAGGAGCUGUCAAAAAGGAUUUAAAAUACUGAGCACCUGAAGUAUUAAGGAACUUCUGUGUAAUCAAUAACUAUGCCUUUUUUUUCCUCCAAAGAGGAUAUGAAAAGUUACAGAAGUGAUUAUUUUUUUUCUAUUUUUGAAGAAAUCUUGUUUUUAGAGUAACUUAGAUUUUUUUUGUUGUUCAAUGACUGUUAAUGAUAUUAAGAUGGGAUCUUGAUUGGAUUUCAUGUUUUAUUACUACUUCAAAAAUAUAUUUGUGCUUAAUCCAGAGGUUAUUUUACAAUAAAUAAUGUUUUUCAGUGAAAGAGUAGUAGGUAUCUUUCAAAAGAUACUAUGAUAAAUAUUUUCUAUGCCCUUGCCAUAAAUGUAUAUUUGUAUUUUUCGAAAUUUUCCAUUAGUGAUUUGAGCAGAUAAUGCUUUCUAGAGCUGUUUCAGCCCUCCAAUACCAGUAAAAAUUCUGAGUGUACAAUAAACCCAUUGUGUACCUUAAUAACACACUCACUUUUAGUUUUAUCCUACACUUAGCUUUGAAGGACAAAAUUAAAACCUUUAUCAAGCAGGACUGGUUAACUAGGAACCUCCCAAAACUGUCAGAGUUCAUGUUUUCUCUACAGAAAGAAAGCCUAUUCCUGAAUCUCUAAAGAUUCUCUAAUUUUUGUCUUAUUGGAGUGUAACAAAUAGUAACCAUGUAUUCUGGCUUCCAAGAUAUAAUCAGUAGAAUCUCUCUAUCUCCACGUAGACAGCUGAGAUGUCACAGCUUUUUAAUGCUUAUGGGCAGGAUAUAAUUUUUUUCUUUUUUGCCAGCUUUACAUUGAAAGUAGAUACAGGUUCAGGAAUGGAACCCACUCUACCGUCACACACCAUUAUGUUUCCAGUCUGCAUUUCUACCUUGUCCUGUUCUGUUGUUUUCACUGCUGUCUGUUCUUUCUGUUCUUCCCCAUAUAUUUGCAGUAACUUAAAGAAUUCAACCUCUGAUACUAAUGUUCUCUCUUCUACUCUCACUUGUUUGUGCAUGAUAUAUGAAUUUGAGAGAUUAACUUUGUGAAACAUUGCUCAGAAUACAAGUUGGCAAUCUAUUAGCCUCAAUCAUUUGUUUAGUCCAGAAUGUGUUUCUAUUAGCAGCCUUGUGGAAACUAACAUAGAACAAUGACUUGCUCAUGAAAAGCAGAAAAGAUAAAAUUCAGAGAGAUGAGUACUUUCCUGACCUUUGUAUCUUUGUGACCAACCAGCUGGAAGUUAGUACUAAAAUAAGCGUGGUCAUGGUGGGGGAGGGGGUCAGGAUUGUAGACUACUCAUGUGGUUUUCCCCCAUGACUCUAAAGUUUUAUUUCUUUAAUUGCAAAGUGUUUUGGUUUUUUUCUUAAUUGAUUUGUAGACAUUGAUGAAGUGAAGUAUGUUAGAAGAUAGUAAGUUAGCCAAUCUGGUUUAACUCUAACAAAAUUUUUUUUUUUUAGUCAGUUGCCAAAAGAUGUGAACCAAGAAUUUCAUUUCGGAAAAGGAUUCAUCAGUCUUUCAAAAGUUCUGGAGCUGUUUUCCUUCUCAUUCUCAACAAUUACUUUAUUUUUGAUAUCUUAUGUAAUAAACUCCAGUAUUGAGUUGUUUCCUUGUGAUGAGUAGAAAACAUCUCCACUCAGAAAGGAAAACCAUUAGGUUAUCUUAUACCAGGACAUAAUAGAUCUUAGUUAUUAACCUUUCCCUUGCCUGGUUUCGUGUUCUUACUCUUUAUUAAGCAUAUUUAAUCAGAACUAGUCAGUGUACUUAGCCUGAGUAUAUUUUUUUUUUUCCUGGAGGAUAUAUACAUCAAAUGCAUUUAUAGUCACGUUUUAUCUGCCUCAGGAUUGUGCUUUUGAAGUGGAUAUCCUGUGCAUUCCCACUUUCAGCACUGUAGUUCACAAGGAAGAUAUCAACUAGAUCACAUUUGAAAUAAACUAAACUAGGAUUGCUGAAACUAUUAAGAUUCUUGUGAAAGGGAACUCUGGCCUUGUGAUGAGAUUAAGAGUGAGUUGUAAGUAAAACUUUCUCAAAUGUGCGGGUAUCUGCUCUUCAACACCGUUUUGCUCUGCAAAUCUUAUCUAUAGUACUUGCUAGUGUGGCCAUUCUCAUUUAGUUCAUAGAAUGAUAGUAUUUUGAAUUGGAUGGAACCUUUAAAGGUAGUCUAGUCUAGCUCCUCUGCAAUGAACAGGGACACUUACAGCUAGAUCAGGUUGCCUGACCUUAAGUGUGUCUAAGGGUGGGGCUUCCUGUCUCUCUGGGCAACCUAUUUCAGUGUCUCACCACCAAUUCAGUACAAAAAAAAAAAAGAAAAAAACCUUUUCCUUGCAUCCAAUCUACAUUAAGUAUUUUUCUUAUUUGACUUUAAUAUUCUCAACAUCUCUACUGCGGGCUAGGGCUAAAACUCAAGAAAAUUGCACAGUUUGUCAUCACCAUUGUGAAUGACACUAGUCUUGUCAUUACUUCUCUGUUUGAAUCUCUGAGACGUGGAAAUAAUUUUUGCCCAAGUUUAAGUGUUUGUACAUUUACUAUACCUGAACAAAACCUUGAUGCUCUUGCUACUACUGAAUUUCAGACAGCCUGUUUUCUAAUAUCCUGAGCACAUACAUAAUAAAAAAACAUAAUCGGGAAAUGUGGACAAAUUACCAUAAUGUCAUUUCUUUUUUCCUGUGAAGAAAGAUUAGAGAUACAGUGUAGUCAGAAAGCAGUUCCAGUAAGACCUCAAAGAGUAUUAAACAUAUUACAGUAAAAUUGUCUGGAAGAAGACUGGUAUUUUGCUGAAAGAAAUAGGAUUGAAUGCUUCCUUUAAGUGUGGUCAGUAGUCUUUACAUUUAUCUAUUAGCUCUGAGAGAAUUAUGUAGAUUACUCAGUGGUAGAAACAUCGUCAUUUACAUAGGUAUUUAUUUAUCUGUAUUUUUAUUUACUUUUAUGGGUACUUUGUGAAGCUAACAGCAUAACAUAAAAUUUUUCCCUAAUCUUUGUGUUGAAGGUACAACUGACUGAAAGUGUUGCAUAACUUGGCAAUGAUAAAAUAAAGAAUCUGAUCCUGACAGAAACAAAAGCAGUCUUUUUUUUCUGGGAGAAAUUAUUCAUACUGAAAUAACAUUUCAACAAUAAAACAUAAAAGUGAUACCUAGUCAGAGAUCAUUAAAAAGUAUCCUGUCAUUUGAAUCAGACCGUGUAUUGUAAUGCAGAUUAUAUUGAUUUAGUUUCAAAUUGAAACUAGAGGUUCCCCCCAAGUGAUAACAGGUACAGAAUCUCUUUGAAUUAUGCUGGUGAGCAAUGGGAUACUUGGUACAUCUCUCUUACCAAAAACUUGAGAUCAGAAGAUUAUUAGCUGGAGGUUUUUAGACUUCUUUCUGGAAGCUCAAUAAAUUAUUAACUGUAUUCAUACCAUUUGCAGUACUGCCAGUAGAUAGUGGGUUUUUUCCCUCUUAAAAAAAAAAAAAAGGAAGAAAUGGUGCUGUGCUCUUACUUUUGUUGUAAAGCAGAGCGUAAUUCAUCUUAUUCUUUUCACUGAUUAAGAGACAUUGCCUUUACUCAAGUAGGGGCAAGAUACCCUUUCCCAAAACCCACAUUCAAACCUUCCACAUUAUAGUUCUCUGGAACUACCAAGGCUGUACAAACUGUUCUUGUGUCUUUUUGAAAAUGUCCUAAUGUUACAGCUCUUACCUUUAGCAGAUACUGCAUCCCACCUCCUCAAAGGAGUAAGAAAAGCCAUAACUGAAUGGUGUAUGAAGACUGUGACUGCUAGAAUUAUCCUCUCAUAAUUUCUAUGAAAUCUUAGAGUAUCAAAUGUGAUAGCAAAGUUCUCAGAGUUAAUCUGAUGAAUCCAUGUCAUGCAAAAUUGUGUCUUCCUACCACUUAGGUAUAGUGAUCUUUCAUUUGUGUCCUGCCAACUGAAGCCCAUUGCAGUACAGUGUGUUUCAGUUUCCAUGACAAUUCACG
rnacentral:lncRNA from 1 species